AAUCCAUAGGUUAAUGAGGCGAACCGGGGGAACUGAAACAUCUAAGUACCCCGAGGAAAAGAAAUCAACCGAGAUUCCCCCAGUAGCGGCGAGCGAACGGGGAGGAGCCCAGAGCCUGAAUCAGCAUGUGUGUUAGUGGAAGCGUCUGGAAAGGCGCGCGAUACAGGGUGACAGCCCCGUACACAAAAGCGCAUGUGCUGUGAGCUCGAUGAGUAGGGCGGGACACGUGGUAUCCUGUCUGAAUAUGGGGGGACCAUCCUCCAAGGCUAAAUACUCCUGACUGACCGAUAGUGAACCAGUACCGUGAGGGAAAGGCGAAAAGAACCCCGGCGAGGGGAGUGAAAAAGAACCUGAAACCGUGUACGUACAAGCAGUGGGAGCACAGGUUUACCUGUGUGACUGCGUACCUUUUGUAUAAUGGGUCAGCGACUUAUAUUCUGUAGCAAGGUUAACCGUAUAGGGGAGCCGGAGGGAAACCGAGUCUUAACCGGGCGUUAAGUUGCAGGGUAUAGACCCGAAACCCGGUGAUCUAGCCAUGGGCAGGUUGAAGGUUGGGUAACACUAACUGGAGGACCGAACCGACUAAUGUUGAAAAAUUAGCGGAUGACCUGUGGCUGGGGGUGAAAGGCCAAUCAAACCGGGAGAUAGCUGGUUCUCCCCGAAAGCUAUUUAGGUAGCGCCUCGUGAACUCAUCUCCGGGGGUAGAGCACUGUUUCGGCUAGGGGGCCAUCCCGGCUUACCAACCCGAUGCAAACUGCGAAUACCGGAGAAUGUUAUCACGGGAGACACACGGCGGGUGCUAACGUCCGUCGUGAAGAGGGAAACAACCCAGACCGCCAGCUAAGGUCCCAAAGUCAUGGUUAAGUGGGAAACGAUGUGGGAAGGCCCAGACAGCCAGGAUGUUGGCUUAGAAGCAGCCAUCAUUUAAAGAAAGCGUAAUAGCUCACU
rnacentral:rRNA from 1 species